rnacentral:rRNA from 1 species
AUUGAACGCUGGCGGCAGGCCUAACACAUGCAAGUCGAGCGGUAACACAGGGAGCUUGCUCCUGGGUGACGAGCGGCGGACGGGUGAGUAAUGUCUGGGAAACUGCCUGAUGGAGGGGGAUAACUACUGGAAACGGUAGCUAAUACCGCAUAACGUCGCAAGACCAAAGAGGGGGACCUUCGGGCCUCUUGCCAUCAGAUGUGCCCAGAUGGGAUUAGCUAGUAGGUGGGGUAACGGCUCACCUAGGCGACGAUCCCUAGCUGGGCUGAGAGGAUGACCAGCCACACUGGAACUGAGACACGGUCCAGACUCCUACGGGAGGCAGCAGUGGGGAAUAUUGCACAAUGGGCGCAAGCCUGAUGCAGCCAUGCCGCGUGUAUGAAGAAGGCCUUCGGGUUGUAAAGUACUUUCAGCGGGGAGGAAGGUGUUGAGGUUAAUAACCUCAGCAAUUGACGUUACCCGCAGAAGAAGCACCGGCUAACUCCGUGCCAGCCGCCGCCGUAAUAC